AGAUGUGAAGGAGAUCAGGCUGUGACAUCUGUCACCCCAUUGAUCACCAGAGUUGAUUCAGCUGAUCUGGCUGUCCGCGCAGGUGUCCUCUUUGUCUCUCAGUGCUCCAUGUGUUUCGCUUACAGAGCUGCAUGCGUGAUAGAAGACACAACCACCCCUGCCUGUUAGAGGAGGACAGUUCCUCAGUCAAAGGAAUGAGCAGUGGAGACCUCUCACUAGAACACCCAAACAAGCUUUCGAGUUUCAUUUAAAGAUGCAAAUAUGCAUCCAAAUAGAAAAACAUGACUGUCAAUGUAAUUUAUAUAUGUAUAUAUCUAAUAUCUAU
ensembl:misc_RNA 7SK 7SK RNA